UGAGCUGCUUUUACAGAGGGGCUGUUGUA
rnacentral:piRNA from 1 species